rnacentral:rRNA from 1 species
UACAGAGGUGGCAAGCGUUGUUCGGAAUUAUUGGGCGUAAAGGGCUCGUAGGCGGUCUGUUGCGUCGGGAGUGAAAACUUACAGCUUAACUGUGAGCGUGCUUCCGAUACGGGCAGACUUGAGGUAUUCAGGGGAGAACGGAAUUCCUGGUGUAGCGGUGAAAUGCGCAGAUAUCAGGAGGAACACCGGUGGCGAAGGCGGUUCUCUGGGCCUUACCUGACGCUGAGGAGCGAAAGCGUGGGGAGCAAACAGG